CAAAAAUAGAGUGGCUUGGCUGCCAAGUUGGCUAGAACACUGGCAUCCCCAUAAAAACCCUACCUGUUUACACAAAUGCCACUCUCUAAGAUCCUAAGAGGCAGGGCAGGAUCACAAAUGCAAAUGCCUUUCUUGAGCAAUCCAGCUCCUGGCCGCUGUUCCUAGGGCAAGGCUGAAGGAAGCCGUGACCACAGGAGGACUUCUCUGAAGGGAAAGGCCUUGCUUUUUAAGAGCUGCUUUUCUUAUUUAUGUGUUCUGUUCUCAUUAUUUCUGAGAAACCUUUUUAGAAUUUCACUGGGAGUCGAAAAACACAUUUUGCCAAAUUCCGAGGUCUUGUAACCACAAGGCCUGGUCCCUGUGACCAAACUGAGACCAAGCCGUAACCUUCUGGCACUGGCUGCUGUUUACUGCUGGCGAAAGACCACUUUGGGUUUCACAGUAAAAAGGGUUAGAAAAUUGUAUGAAAGGGCUCAGAAGACUCACGGACAUCAAAUAGCUCUUACAAAACCAAUGUUGUAAUUAGUUAAGUAUAAAUGAAUCAGAACCAUAUGGCUUAAAAGUUAAAGGAAAAAGGAGUUGGAGGAAAAAAAAUGUCCUUUGGGAUUUAAUCAAACAAAAAAUGCUGGAAAAAUGGUUGAUGUUCACCAAGCUCAGAUCCCAUCUGGGUGCCCCCCCUCGGUCCCCUCCAGCUUUUUCCUCCCUCCCUGGUUCUCCCCAUGAGGCAGGGGUGACUUCUGGGCCCUGCUCCCUGGAUGCUGGGCAUCAGGGAGGUGGAGUAGGUGUGUCGCAGUGGAGCGGAGUUAAGCUGGAGAGAAGCUUGGAGCAUCUGGGGAGCAGAGAGAAGGGGCGCUCAGGCUGGUCCUUGGCUUCCCUGUAGAGAUGAUACUGAGUCAGCCUUAUGGGCAGAAGAGGGACCGGGGAGUGGAAGAAGCAUGCCCCAUCUACAACGAGAAGGGGAGGACAGGGCCAACCAGAACCUGGGCCACCCUGCCGCCACAGAACCUGUCCUCUGCCCACUCUAGUCACGGAGCUCCGGAUAUCACAGACUGCUUGACUGCCCUGCAGUGGCCACCAGGGGCUGGUCCCCGAAGUGAGAUGCUUCUGCUACUCUGGCUGCUUCACCUGCGGUGGUCUCUCCACUGGCCGUCUUCAUGGCAUCACCAGGGCCCAUCUGACAGUAUGCAGGGCCGGCUGGCGGCGCCCUGGUCAUGUUCCCGCAACAGAGGCUGGGAAAGUGAAGGAGGUGAACUCUGCAUUUCACUGAGAUUCCCAUGGAAGGAGUUCCCCAAACACAGGAAAGAGAUUCAGAUUCUGGGCAGCUAAACAUAGGAAGAAAAAUGUCCACAACACAAAAUCCUUCAUGAUGUUGUCCCAAGAGUCUGAGAAGAUGCUUUCAAAGGGAGUCCGUGAGGUGCGAUAAAUAGUUUAGCAAACCAGGUGCUCAGAAGUUGUGCUGACUCUCCCCUGGAUCUGAGCAAAGACAGGGGUUAUCGAAAUCAGCUGGGCUUGUUAAGCCUGCCUGUGGCCACCGAACGAAGUUCCAAACAUAUGUUCUAAGGCACCCUGGAGAUAGGGGGGCCGUGCGUCUCUCAGAGGUAACCCCCAAAUUGAACAAAGCAACAAACCAGGUUGACGAGAUGACUUCAAAAGCCAGAGCCUCUCAAUUACUGAGAAAUCAGCUGGAGAACAUUAUAGUUAAGCAUAACCGAAGGCAGACAACUCAUUAAAAGGAUUGCCCUCGGUAAUGAAAACCAUACUGGCAGAGAGACUUAGCAGGGCUCAGGAAAGGCCCUGCGCAUCCCGGGCCCAGAGUGCAAGUGCAGACACUGCUCUGGCUUCCACCCAUGAGAAACAUUCUGCUUCUUUCCUGGCAUCGUUUUCUCCAGACUCAUUCAUUACUAUUUCUGCCUUUAUUUGCCCAGGGUAUAGCACUUUACAAGGUGCUUGAAUGUUCAGAAUCUGCUUCCUAAUGUUAAAAGAAGAUGAUUAUAUAUACUAAGUGGAGCUGUUUAAAGUAAGGUUGAAAACAUUUGAGGGUGGGUGGGGCAGGUAUCUCUGGUCCCUUCGAGAAUCUGAUGAAAACUGCUGAUCUUCUUUCUAGGGAAAAUUACACAUGUGUGUGCACACAGCUCCUUCCACAAUUUUGCAUGUAAUUUGAUGAGCCCACUGACAUUCAUGCAUGGAAAUUUAGAGGAUUACAGCGUGAAGAGCCUUGUAAGCCAUGUUAAGGAUCCAAAACUUGAUCCAGAGGUCAUUUAGGAUACUACAGCAGGUAGGAACUGCUUUCGGCUUUCUCUGUGAGAGAGACACAGAAUAACUGGUUUAAGCAAGAUAGGUAUUUUUCUCUACUGUGAAAGAAUUCAGAAGUGGGCAGUUCACAGUUAACUGAUAUUCACAAUACUGUCAACAUCCUAGAUUCUUCUUUAUCUUUUAGCUCUGCUGUUCUUAGUACAUACUUUCAUCCUCAACAUCUCUUCGUGGUCAUCAGACGGCUGGCUAGCUGUUGCUCCAGUCGUCACAUUUGCAUUCCAAUCAGGGAGAAAGAGGAACUAGGACGCCUGGCUGGUGGGAAAUUGCUUUGUGAUGUGAAAAAAACACACACAUGUCAGAAUGGGUGAUCAGAGUCAGAGGAAGUCGUCAGGGAUACACCCCCAGAGUCUGUCCAAGGGGGAGAAGUCUUGUGGGCUGGGAAGGAAAUCAUGACUUCUAGCAGGUCCUGAGACCAAAAGAUCCUGAGCACUGAGAAGAUGACAGUGCUUUCUCAAAAACAUCUCCCCUUUGAGGAAGUCCAACAGCAUUCUGACUUUUCCUGUAACUGCUUAGACGUUUUGCCCAGAAGUCAAAUUUGUGGAUCUGUAACUUGCAUACAAUAAACACACAUAUUUUAAGUGCACAAUUCAAUGAUGUCUGUCAGAUGUGUACACACUUUGUAGAACCCCAGUCAAAACCCUCCCGUCAUUACAGAAUAUUCCCUCAUGCCCCACUCACUCAGCUUCUACAUCCCCUACCCCAGGCAACCACUGAUCUGAUACCUGUUAUUACAAAUGAGUUGGCCUGUUUUAGAAGUCACGUAAGUGGAAUCAUUCAGAAAAUAUUCUUUUGUGUCUGGUUUCUUGAGUCAGCAUCAAAGCUCUCAGAUUCAUCAUGUUGCCUAUCUGUAGUGUGUCUAUUUCCGGGAGUACU
ensembl:lncRNA